GACGAACCUGGCGGGUGCCUAAUACAUGCAGUAGAACGCUGAGGAGGAGCUUGCUUCUCGGAUGAGUUGCGAACGGGUGAGUAACGCGUAGGUAACCUGCCUGGUAGCGGGGGAUAACUAUUGGAAACGAUAGCUAAUACCGCAUAAGAGUAGAUGUUGCAUGACAUUUGCUUAAAAGGUGCAAUUGCAUCAUACCGAUGGACCUGCGUUGAUUAGCUAGUUGUGGGGUAACGGCUCACCAAGGGAGAUACAUAGCCGACCUGAGAGGGUGAUCGGCCACACUGGGACUGAGACACGGCCCAGACUCCUACGGGAGGCAGCAGUAGGGAAUCUUCGGCAAUGGACGGAAGUCUGACCGAGCAACGCCGCGUGAGUGAAGAAGGUUUUCGGAUCGUAAAGCUCUGUUGUAAGAGAAGAACGAGUGUGAGAGUGGAAAGUUUCACACUGUGACGGUAUCUUACCAGAAAGGA
rnacentral:rRNA from 1 species